AGAGUUUGAUCCUGGCUCAGAACGAACGCUGGCGGCGUGCCUAACACAUGCAAGUCGAGCGCGAAUGGAGCAAUCCUAGUAGAGCGGCGCACGGGUGCGUAACACGUGGGUAAUCUGCCUGGAAGACCGGAAUAACCUGCCGAAAGGCUGGCUAAUACCGGAUAAGCCUACGGGGUCCUUGGACCUUGGAGGAAAAGGUGGCCUCUGUACACAAGCUAUCACUUCCAGAUGAGCCCGCGGCCCAUCAGCUAGUUGGCGGGGUAAUGGCCCACCAAGGCAACGACGGGUAGCUGGUCUGAGAGGACGAUCAGCCACACUGGAACUGAGACACGGUCCAGACUCCUACGGGAGGCAGCAGUGGGGAAUUUUGCACAAUGGGCGAAAGCCUGAUGCAGCAACGCCGCGUGUGUGAUGAAGGUCUUCGGAUCGUAAAGCACUUUCGACCGUGACGAACAACCUCCGGCUAACACUCGGGGGCCUGACGGUAGCGGGAGAAGAAGCACCGGCUAACUCUGUGCCAGCAGCCGCGGUAAUACAGAGGGUGCAAGCGUUGUUCGGAAUUAUUGGGCGUAAAGCGCGUGUAGGCGGCUUUGCAAGUCGGGUGUGAAAGCCCUCGGCUCAACCGAGGAAGUGCGCCCGAAACUGCAGAGCUUGGGUACCGGAGAGGGAUGGCGGGAAUUCCCCAAGUAGAGGUGAAAUUCGUAGAUAUGGGGGAGGAACACCGGUGGGCGAAGGCGGCCAUCUGGACGGAUACUGGACGCUUGAGACGCGAAAGCGUGGGGAGCAAACAGGAUUAGAUACCCUGGUAGUCCACGCCGUAAACGAUGAGAACUAGGUGUUGUGGGAGUUGACCCCCGCGGUGCCGUAGCUAACGCAUUAAGUUCUCCGCCUGGGAAGUACGGCCGCAAGGCUAAAACUCAAAUGAAUUGACGG
rnacentral:rRNA from 2 species